GGACUCAGGCGGUAAAAAAUAGAGUGCAGUAGAGAUAACUUGCAUGGCAGGGCCGCAGUAAUUUAACGGGAACAGAUGUUUCCCCUUGCCUGAGUGACAGCAGAUCCUCCUCCGGCUCCACGAAGAGAGAAGCGGACACAUUACAGAUGGUGGUCGCGCCUGUGGUCAUCACGGAUAAGGCCCAGGUUUGGACUGUGCUCCAAUCCUGUUGAAGAUAUGAGAGCAGUGAUGGACAAGAAGACCUUUGCCUCAAACCCUCGAUACAGAAGCAGUGAUGCAGAAGUGUCAGAGAUAGAGUUUCCCACUGAAUGCCGGGUCCUUUCAGGCCAGAGCGAUGCAAUUCAGGUGCCACUCAGCAUGAGUUAACGGUCCAGCAACCAGAUCUUACGGGCCAAUAGCUCUCAUG